rnacentral:rRNA from 1 species
GUUCUGCCAAGAGCAUC